AACAAGAUAUCAGUUGAUGUCCACAUCAUUAUAUUUGUGUUGUAUGCAAUGAUUUUUGCCUGCAGAUUGAUUGAGAUAAGAAAAUAAAAAGCUGAAUGUGCAAAUAAUUACUUCUGGCAAAAUGUAUUGCUUUGAAUCCCUUGUCUGUAGGUCAACAAUAAAUGCAUGCAGUGCCAGUCAAAUGGUCAUGAAAGUGGACAACUUUUUCAAACAGAUUUUUCUUCCUGUGUGAGUAAACCGUAGUACCCAGAGAAAACCUACAACACUUGGUUCAGGGUUGACUCAUUUCAUAAUUCCAACACCAAUAUUGCAAAGAGAAAUUAGAUUUUUAA